GAUUCUAAAUUGAAUGUGGAAGAAGAAUUGGAGGAUCUUGAAGCUUUAGAAUCUGGCUUGACUAAUGGAGGUGCUGAAACUUCAAUCACUCUUUAAAGAUAAUAGAAGUCUGGAACUAAAUUAUGUUGCAGUCAGUUUUCAGAUUUUGAUUUCUGAUUUCUGGUUUCUGCAUUCAGUUCAUUGUGACUUGUGAAAUGUGAACUUGAAAAAUGUCUGUUAGUGUUACUUUGAAUAACUUGUCGUUGUAUUGUCUAUUGGCAGUUGGUACUUGGUACUCCAGAUUUGUAUUUGAUGGAUUUUGGCAUUUGUAAUGUGUGUGUAAUAAUUUGGAUGUUGAUUUCCUUUGAAUUGGUGUUGUAGGCUUGUAGCCUGUAAGUUUGCAAUUAGAAUUAGUUUGCAAUUA